CUUUCGAUAGCUCAGUUGGCAGAGCGGAGUAUUGUAGAUAUAAUAGCAACGGUGAUCCUUAGGUUGCUGGUCCAAAUCCGGCUCGAGGGA